rnacentral:rRNA from 1 species
AGUGAACGCUGGCGGUAGGCCUAACACAUGCAAGUCGAACGGCAGCACAGUAAGAGCUUGCUCUUACGGGUGGCGAGUGGCGGACGGGUGAGGAAUACAUCGGAAUCUACUUUUUCGUGGGGGAUAACGUAGGUAAACUUACGCUAAUACCGCAUACGACCUACGGGUGAAAGCAGUGGAUCUUCUGACCUUGCGCGAUUGAAUGAGCCGAUGUCGGAUUAGCUAGUUGGCGGGGUAAAGGCCCACCAAGGCGACGAUCCGUAGCUGGUCUGAGAGGAUGAUCAGCCACACUGGAACUGAGACACGGUCAAGACUCCUACGGGAGGCAGCAGUGGGGAAUAUUGGACAAUGGGCGCAAGCAUGAUACAGCCAUACCGCGUGGGUGAAGAAGGCCUUCGGGUUGUAAAGCCCUUUUGUUGGGAAAGAAAAGCAGCAGGUUAAUACCCCGCUGUUCUGACGGUACCCAAAGAAUAAGCACCGGCUAACUUCGUG